GGAUGCGAUCAUACCAGCACUUAACCACCGGAUGCCAUCAGAACUCCGAAGUUAAGCGUGCUUGGGCGAGUGUAGUAUUAGGAUGGGUGACCUCCUGGGAAGUCCUCGUGUUGCAUUCC
rnacentral:rRNA from 1 species